rnacentral:rRNA from 1 species
UGGGGAAUAUUGGACAAUGGGCGCAAGCCUGAUCCAGCCAUGCCGCGUGAGUGAUGAAGGCCCUAGGGUUGUAAAGCUCUUUCACCGGUGAAGAUAAUGACGGUAACCGGAGAAGAAGCCCCGGCUAACUUCGUGCCAGCAGCCGCGGUAAUACGAAGGGGGCUAGCGUUGUUCGGAUUUACUGGGCGUAAAGCGCACGUAGGCGGACUUUUAAGUCAGGGGUGAAAUCCCGGGGCUCAACCCCGGAACUGCCUUUGAUACUGGAAGUCUUGAGUAUGGUAGAGGGGGGUGGAAUUCCGGGUGUAGAGGUGAAUUUCGUAGAUAUUCGGGGGACCACCAGUGGCGAAGGCGGCUCACUGGACCAUUACCGACGCUGAGGGGCGAAAGCGUGGGAGCAAACAGG